AGCGCAUACGGUGGAUGCCUUGGCAGUCAGAGGCGAUGAAAGACGUGGUAGCCUGCGAAAAGCUUCGGGGAGUCGGCAAACAGACUGUGAUCCGGAGAUGUCUGAAUGGGGGAACCCAGCCAUCAUAAGAUGGUUAUCUUACACUGAAUACAUAGGUGUAAGAGGCGAACCAGGGGAACUGAAACAUCUAAGUACCCUGAGGAAAAGAAAUCAACCGAGAUUCCCUUAGUAGUGGCGAGCGAACGGGGACCAGCCCUUAAGUUGUAUUGAGAUUAGCGGAACGCUCUGGAAAGGGCGGCCAUAGUGGGUGAUAGCCCUGUACGCGAAAAUCCCUUUGCAAUGAAAUCGAGUAGGACGGGGCACGAGAAACCUUGUCUGAAUAUGGGGGGACCAUCCUCCAAGGCUAAAUACUACUGACUGACCGAUAGUGAACCAGUACCGUGAGGGAAAGGCGAAAAGAACCGCGGAGAGCGGAGUGAAAUAGAUCCUGAAACCGUAUGCGUACAAGCAGUGGGAGCCCACUUUGUUGGGUGACUGCGUACCUUUUGUAUAAUGGGUCAGCGACUUAUUUUCAGUGGCGAGCUUAACCGAAUAGGGGAGGCGUAGCGAAAGCGAGUCUUAAUAGGGCGUCUAGUCGCUGGGAAUAGACCCGAAACCGGGCGAUCUAUCCAUGGGCAGGUUGAAGGUUGGGUAACACUAACUGGAGGACCGAACCGACUACCGUUGAAAAGUUAGCGGAUGACCUGUGGAUCGGAGUGAAAGGCUAAUCAAGCUCGGAGAUAGCUGGUUCUCCUCGAAAGCUAUUUAGGUAGCGCCUCAUGUAUCACUGUAGGGGGUAGAGCACUGUUUCGGCUAGGGGGUCAUCCCGACUUACCAAACCGAUGCAAACUCCGAAUACCUACAAGUGCCGAGCAUGGGAGACACACGGCGGGUGCUAACGUCCGUCGUGAAAAGGGAAACAACCCAGACCGUCAGCUAAGGUCCCAAAGUCAUGGUUAAGUGGGAAACGAUGUGGGAAGGCUUAGACAGCUAGGAGGUUGGCUUAGAAGCAGCCACCCUUUAAAGAAAGCGUAAUAGCUCACUAGUCGAGUCGGCCUGCGCGGAAGAUGUAACGGGGCUCAAACCAUGCACCGAAGCUACGGGUAUCACCUUUGGUGAUGCGGUAGAGGAGCGUUCUGUAAGCCUGUGAAGGUGAGUUGAGAAGCUUGCUGGAGGUAUCAGAAGUGCGAAUGCUGACAUGAGUAACGACAAUGGGUGUGAAAAACACCCACGCCGAAAGACCAAGGUUUCCUGCGCAACGUUAAUCGACGCAGGGUUAGUCGGUCCCUAAGGCGAGGCUGAAAAGCGUAGUCGAUGGAAAACAGGUUAAUAUUCCUGUACUUCUGGUUAUUGCGAUGGAGGGACGGAGAAGGCUAGGCCAGCCUGGCGUUGGUAGUCCAGGUUUAAGGUGGUAGGCUGAGAUCUUAGGUAAAUCCGGGAUCUUAAGGCCGAGAGCUGAUGACGAGUGUUCUUUUAGAACAUGAAGUGGUUGAUGCCAUGCUUCCAAGAAAAGCUUCUAAGCUUCAGGUAACCAGGAACCGUACCCCAAACCGACACAGGUGGUUGGGUAGAGAAUACCAAGGCGCUUGAGAGAACUCGGGUGAAGGAACUAGGCAAAAUGGCACCGUAACUUCGGGAGAAGGUGCGCCGGUGAGGGUGAAGCAUUUACUGCGUAAGCCCACGCCGGUCGAAGAUACCAGGCCGCUGCGACUGUUUAUUAAAAACACAGCACUCUGCAAACACGAAAGUGGACGUAUAGGGUGUGACGCCUGCCCGGUGCCGGAAGGUUAAUUGAUGGGGUUAGCGCAAGCGAAGCUCUUGAUCGAAGCCCCGGUAAACGGCGGCCGUAACUAUAACGGUCCUAAGGUAGCGAAAUUCCUUGUCGGGUAAGUUCCGACCUGCACGAAUGGCGUAACGAUGGCGGCGCUGUCUCCACCCGAGACUCAGUGAAAUUGAAAUCGCUGUGAAGAUGCAGUGUAUCCGCGGCUAGACGGAAAGACCCCGUGAACCUUUACUAUAGCUUUGCACUGGACUUUGAAUUUGCUUGUGUAGGAUAGGUGGGAGGCUUUGAAGCGUGGACGCCAGUCUGCGUGGAGCCAACCUUGAAAUACCACCCUGGCAACUUUGAGGUUCUAACUCAGGUCCGUUAUCCGGAUCGAGGACAGUGUAUGGUGGGUAGUUUGACUGGGGCGGUCUCCUCCUAAAGAGUAACGGAGGAGUACGAAGGUGCGCUCAGACCGGUCGGAAAUCGGUCGUAGAGUAUAAAGGCAAAAGCGCGCUUGACUGCGAGACAGACACGUCGAGCAGGUACGAAAGUAGGUCUUAGUGAUCCGGUGGUUCUGUAUGGAAGGGCCAUCGCUCAACGGAUAAAAGGUACUCCGGGGAUAACAGGCUGAUACCGCCCAAGAGUUCAUAUCGACGGCGGUGUUUGGCACCUCGAUGUCGGCUCAUCACAUCCUGGGGCUGAAGCCGGUCCCAAGGGUAUGGCUGUUCGCCAUUUAAAGUGGUACGCGAGCUGGGUUUAGAACGUCGUGAGACAGUUCGGUCCCUAUCUGCCGUGGACGUUUGAGAUUUGAGAGGGGCUGCUCCUAGUACGAGAGGACCGGAGUGGACGAACCUCUGGUGUUCCGGUUGUCACGCCAGUGGCAUUGCCGGGUAGCUAUGUUCGGAAAAGAUAACCGCUGAAAGCAUCUAAGCGGGAAACUUGCCUCAAGAUGAGAUCUCACUGGAACCUUGA
rnacentral:rRNA from 3 species